rnacentral:rRNA from 1 species
CCUACGGGAGGCAGCAGUGGGGAAUAUUGGGCAAUGGGCGCAAGCCUGACCCAGCAACGCCGCGUGAAGGAAGAAGGCGUUCGGGUUGUAAACUUCUUUUCUCAGGGACGAAGAAAGUGACGGUACCUGAGGAAUAAGCCACGGCUAACUCCGUGCCAGCAGCCGCGGUAAUACGUAGGUGGCAAGCGUUAUCCGGAUUUACUGGGUGUAAAGGGCGUGUAGGCGGGACUGCAAGUCAGAUGUGAAAACCACGGGUCCAACCUGUGGCCUGCAUUUGAAAAUGUAGUUCUUGAGUACUGGGGAGGCAGACGGAAUUCCUAGUGGAGCGGUGAAAUGCGUAGAUAUUAGGAGGAACACCAGUGGCGAAGGCGGUCUGCUGGACAGCAACUGACGCUGAGGCGCGAAAGCGUGGGGAGCAAACAGGAUUAGAUACCCUUGUAGUC